UACCGGGUUCUUCUUUCUCGUACUUGGUUACUAUCAGACACACGCCAAGUUUGAACAGACUUGGAGUCUUUUUUAGUAAUACGAAGUAGAACGCCACAUCUUCAAGCUGUAACACUAGACGGUGCUAGAGCAUUAGGCGGCAAUCUUUAAAUGAUCGUCUAGCUGGUUCAAACUGGAUGUUUACACCCUUCGUUGAAGUGGACACUAUCAGACAGAUUACACGUAGACUAAACAACUUUUCACGAUGCGUCAUCAAUGCAAAAAUAGCAUAACUUCACACCCGGGUGACGAUCUUCCGACGAUCAUCCUUCAGAUCGUUUUCGGAAGCCCUGCAAGUGCGCAAACGAAUCUUUGUGUUGUGUUGGUUGUUUUCCCUCUAGCACAUUCAAACAUGGUCCCUCUCAAACACGUCCCAACCUCACGGACACCUGAUGCUCCCCAAUGCGCGCCGAGGUAAUCCAAUUAAAAAAGGGCAAUCCAUCCGAUUGCGUCAGUCGGAGCAAAUUUUGGCAGACGCCGUAAACGUGUUAGUGUCACCGUAGUAACGGUUGACGUAGUGGUAACUGUAGUAAACACAGCAAAUGACAUCUUCAGCAUGCCACUAAGUGUAAACAACGCAAGAGAAAAGAGCGAGAGAGAGAGAAAGUUGAACAGAGAAAAAACCAAAUGAUAGCGAGAGAAAGAGAGUACACGCGCACGAGAUUAUCUGUGAUUGAAGGGAAGAAAAACAUUCGGAUGACAGGCAAUGUUCAGUUGUUUACCGUUGGGUGCUGAUUAGUUUAGGAUGGUUGUGAGGUGUGUUGUUGUGUGUUUUUUUUUUUAUCGGAACCAAUUUCGUCAUCAUCGUUCAAGGGAAGGUCAACAUUUCUAGUGCUGCAAAACAAAUUCUGUAACUGUACAUAUGACUGCUGGCGCUAUCGAUCGUUAUAUCGAUGUUGUUGCACAUUUGGUGUUUUUAUUUAUUAGUUGUUUGGUGUUGAUGGAGUGGCAAAAGCCUGUUGUAGAUCUACUUAACUGAUCUGCUACUGGACAUUAUGACCUGUGUUCUUCACACAUUCGACACUGUUUGAUGAUGUGAAUGGUGGAUGUGGUUUCUUGUGUAAUAUAACAACAUUCUUCGCUAUUUCUUAGAUUAAAUUUACUUCAACAAAGAAUGUCAAGCUCCUUUCACACUGUGCCUUACAUAAUUGACACGUUUGUCCAGCAGAAACGACCACAGAAUAGGAGAAUGUCUCCUGAGCUGUGACCAACACAGCAACAAAAAUGCUUUCCCAUCGAUCGGUUUAUCUCUGUUUUCGACCGUGCCCAGAAGAAUGCUCCAAACAUUUAGUGACCGAAACCGGUUCCAACUCCCUUCCGCAGGCUCAAAACUCCACAUCAAGCUUUAAGGGCUCUCCCUCCCGUUAACCAACCGCACAUAUUAUUUCGACUACUGCGCCGUGUAGCGAAAGAGAGAACGAAGGUCAACGAUGAAGGGCAUGGCUUUAAAUAAAAACACGGUUCAAGACGAGCCUCCAAAAACGCGCGUUUUUUGGGCAAUGGUGCGCUGCAGCAGAGCUGAAAAAUUGCAUUUCAUGCAGAUAUUCCCAUUAUGGCCGAACCGUUGAAAUGGUUCGAUGAGCAUAAACAAACGAAACUGUCCACUGCGUGUGAGGUUCGUCUCCUGCUUGGAAUAUUGUUGUAUUUUUAAACGCCGUGACGAACGCAGAUGCGAAACACGACGCACUGAAAUCGAAUCUCGGCGAAAUGUUUGGUUACAUGUGGUGGACACAUUACACUUCCUCGUUAUAUUUCAUUCGAUGCGAACAGGCGUGUGUUGCUGCUGGUGCUGUUGCUUGGUGGUGCAUUGAACUUGAACGCAAAUAACUUCCUGCUAGAAGUCGGCCAUCAGCCCGCCACGUUUCUUCCUUACAUUAUGCCGCUCUGCCUCUUAUAAAGCACGCACGAUCGCGAUCUGGUCAGUCGUACAGUAAAACUUUAUUUACAUCUUCACACGUCGUAUGAAGUGCGUUUAAUUUCAUUUACGCUAUUUUCGACACGAAAGAAUUGCGCAAAGAGAAUGCGGAUAGCGGUGGGCGCUAUUUCUGCUUCAUUAUAAAUCAUGCUCACUUAGUGCGUUGCGGUUCUACGGUUGGGUUUUAUGAACGCAAACGAGUGUUUUAAUGUGGCUUCAAUUAAACCUUCCUUUUUUACGGAGCUUCUAGACAGCAACACAAACUGUUGAAAUGAAUGCACUUACCCUGUACUUGAUACUUUUCUUUGUUGUUAUGGCUUUCCUCGCGCAGCGUAUAAGCAGAAGCCCUUGUUAGCCUGCGUGUGUGACUCACGCGUUUGAUAAGAAUAAUCUCUCUUUUUGACUGGCGUGGGGCCAGGUAAACAGAAACAACCAAGUAGCGCCCGUACAACGUGUUCAUUUUUCAUCGCGAUGGAAAGUUACCGAGUAUCGGGUGCUUAGUAAUUCCGGUUGGGAAAGAUCCAGCCAUUGCAUCAGCACCAUACAAUUCGAUCAUUCGAUCAGUUCUUUGCACAAGACAUUCCUCAAAUGUGUGCUUGUUUCUAAGAAAAGGAUAAUAAACUGGAUCAAUGCAACACCUUUGUACACACGGACAGAGGCGUUCAAAGGCAUCGUCGUGUGCUUCAGGAAGGGUUUUUAUGCGGUUAAUCACCAAGAAUGCCGCUUUGUUGAGGGAGUCAACUGGGCUACUAAUAAGGUGAUUGUGGAUUACUCAUUGCUUUAACAGCUGGACGUGUUUAUGCGCACAAAGUUAGCGCCCGUUUAUCUGUAAGCUGUCGCUGGAGAUGGAUGAUUCAUUAGACUGAAGCUCAGAUUGACAAGAGCUCCAAAAAAGUAAUAAAAUGGGAUUUCAAGGAACAAGCAUUUACAGCCGAUCCGUCACCGAACUAUGACCCUAUCAAUUGGUUCACAACCGAACGCCACACACGACAUAGAGCUGACAGUAUAAGGGGGGCACCUUUACGGACUUUCCCAUUCGUAUGCCCAUAUAUUGGCACAAGUGUUCAAUGUCACACACAGCCGCCAAGUGAUAUGAAUGGAAAGAAGAGGACGCUAAGAAAAAGCCCGAUCUAUGCAAAGCAGAAUGAAUCCGGAAUGCUCGCUUGUGUACUGUAUGGAUACCACACACGGUAACGGUAUUGACAAGCCUGUACCCGCCGCCCAUCUCAUUUCCAUGCAGCUGGAAUAAGAAUCCGCGUCCGAUAACGUCGCUAACCGUGGGUCGUCUAGUUCAUCUCACCCCCCUCGCCGAGUGUCAGACACCUUUGCACGCUCUUCUUUAGUGGCGAUUAGAAAAUGCGCAACUUCACCUUGAAGUAGUUGCCUCUCUGGUGCCCCGUUUUAUCUGGCCGUUUCGUUUUGGGGAGGAAGUUCGAAGAUCUUGCAAAUGUAUUCUUCACACUUUGCCUUUCCCUCAAGGACACAAGGGGGUUUGUAGCAGAGGUGAUGCGGUGUUAGCGGUGGUACGCGAAGAGGAAUAAUUAAGUGUUCGUUUGUGAUCAACCCACACACAGACGUCUGUGCGUUUUCGUCGCUUUUUUCAGAAAUUUUGUCAACAGAACAUCUUCGUUUAUCGUUUGGGUAGCGGCGAUCCAACGUAUUGCAUCAGCCACUGGGAGACGAUCAUGACGAUGAUGAUGAUGGUGGUAGUAUGGUAUGGUGGUAGUCUGCCGCGGUGUACGUGAUAAACAGAUCGUAUACUUAGACCACGCGCUCAUCUGUCAACGAACUUCAACCUCUCCCAAACUGUCAAUCCCUCCCGCAGUCGCACAUUGAGCGACUCCCCUCCGCUUUUGUCAACCUCUUGCUUCCAGAGCACAAACACCUAGACGGUGAGUUUUUAUCAUCACUCUACGCAUCUUAUCUAGUGCUUCCUGUCCGCGCACGCACGCAUACAACCCUCCUUCUCCUCCCUAUAGGUAAUGGAAAAUUUCUCAAAAAUAUUCUUUCUCACGGUGCGACAGCAACAGCAACAUCGCGAGGUCAUUCCGUCUGUUUACCGUCGUCUGUGCCAAAUGCCACGUUUACCAACGAUAUUAGCUGGGUUUCGGUGUGUUUUGGGUAGGGGGAUUUCAAAUCCGUACCACCCAGCGCAUUAACGAGCGCGCUCCGCUCGGAAACGAUGACCAUCGCCUAGUCCGAAACAGAGAAGCUACGUUGAAAUUAGGUCAAACUUCUGUGCUGCUGCGACUUGACGGUGAAGGGUUCGCUUUGUAAUGAAACUAAAGCCAAUAAGGAGCGUUCAUUCCCUUCUUUUCUUCUUGGCUCUACUUUUCACAACUACAGGUAUGAAUUAUGUUGCACAGAGCAUCAUACCGGUAACAUGAGUGAUUAUUAUUAGCUUUCGCUUAAACACGUGUCAGCAUGUCGAGCGAUGGAAAGCUGUCAAUCGGCUAAACACCGUCAAAUUAGCUACCCUCCAACCCUGCAGAGCGCAGGUGUAUGUAUGUGUGUGCAGGUUCGUCUGGUUGGUUGUAACCGUGGUCAUUGGACGUUGGACUGCGGCCGUUGCCUGGGAAGGGUGGAGUAUGGGGUCCAAAUGGGUUUCUAUUUUGGGGUGUGUACCGAUAAAAAAACACACAUCACGAACUGAGAGCUACGCGCCAUUAUGCGCUUUUCUCACACCCGGCACCAGGCGCGGCACCCACCACGUGGCGGAAUGGUUGUGGCAUUCCGGAAGAGAGUGAUCCCGCGUAAUUUUGUUGCAGAUCGUGGGCUAUUUGUGUGUUUAUGUGUUUAUGUGUGGCGCUUCUUCUUGCCAGCAGUGUUGCUUCCCUUUUUCCUCCCCGAUAACAAACACACGCUGAUGCAAUAUUGCUCCCCCGUUGCUGACGCGCGCUUAUCGUUCGGUCGCCAUUUGUCAACGAUACAACAGGUUACAAAAAUAAGAAAAAAAAUAGAAGCUAGCAAAACAAACGAAAUCCGGUUUAUCGUAUUGUUGAUCUGUUGUUUACUUACAUCCAUGCCAGGGGGGAUACGGAGAGCAGGAGGUGUUUUCUACGUGCCCUUUUCCGAGUACGCCACGCUUCCGAUCUUGGACGCUUGUUUUGAAAGUCGCUCGUAAAUGCGUUUCCGUUUAUUCUUGUUUACCGGGUGCGGUGUAUAGCCAACAAAUCCUAAAUACCAAAUGAGUAAAAAAUAGUAAAAAAGAACGAGCUCAUUUGGGUGCAUUUGCUAGAGGGAUGUUUGAAAAUCGUGCAAGGUCAGUUACGAUCGAACCCCGAACCAUAUCAGCGAGAGAGUAGGUUCUGUUUUUGUCAACUUAUCGGAAUGCGCGGGAAGGUAACAACACAAUCGAAAUGUCUUGUUGUUUUCCCCGGACCAGUUGGAACUGGAUAGUGUGGUACGGAUCAGUGGGAAAGGUGACCGGUUUUGGUCGGUUAUUGAUGAGGAGCUCUUAUCACCUUAAAAGGAUUGAACUCUGCGCAGCUGUACAGAGAAUGCGUAUUAAAUUUGCUCCAGGCAGGGUAAUGACUAAUUUCCUGAUCAUAAAUCAACAGGGAUGAGCAGAUAUAUUGUUUGCAAUUGAGCAGCACAACACCUUUGUAGAGCUAGGACCGAACCAACUUCAAACCUUUGUUCUUGGGGAAACAAAAAGACCAAACCAUACAUCCAUCGAUGCACAAAGCGUACGAAAGGGUAGUAACUUUAAUCGCUUCAAGACGCCGGUGUGUUACAACGACUGGGGGUUGGUUUUCACUCCCGAAUGCCGAUCACGAACACCGGCAUUGAGUGGGGUGGUUGUGGGUGAAUGAUAUCGUGGGUGCGCAAGCAUUAAAUACAGUAUUUUGUCUAUCUUCUCUUUGUUGUAACUGCCAGCUGACUUCAGGAAGUUGACAGCUAUGCCAAAGUGGCUUCACCAAGCAGGCAGAAUUCAACUGCUGGACUGGAAUAGCUUUCGAGCAGCGCUCGUUAUCCGUGGAAUACAUUUGAAUAAUUACUCUGCCAAGCUUAAGUCUGCACAGGGAUGUCGUUGGAUGGCGUUACAGACACUCCACCUUAUGUUGGAGCUAUUGGUUUGUAGUGCGUUGAGAAAUAGAUCCAGCUGGUCAGAGUAAGAUACGCAAAUCUAAAGCUUAUGACGCGUGUCUAGAACCAAAAGGAAUGUACCACACUCCAGGCAUUGAGUAUGCGAAGGCGUGAAAUGUGAUCGAGAAAGCCAGAAUACAAAGAUGUGGGCUAGACACUCCACCUCGUGGUAGACUGCGAUCUCUCUUUCCCUCUCUCGCUCUACCGCUCUCUCUUUCCCACUCAAAAGAGUAUCAAGUACUUCCCUGGGACACUAAUCAGUUUGCAAACGUUUGCCUACUGUCUCCCUUCAUUUAAUCUGAUCGACUGAGCAUACAUUGUGGGAAGAACUGUUUCAGUUUGAGCUGGUUCACCGUGGCCGUCUCAUCUAUCUUAAUUGCCACCCCCGGGUACAGGGGCUCUACGACCGUUCCGGCUGCCGGUAGGUCUCCGUCGUUUCCGUCAAGCAACUACUUGGCAACUAUAUUUGUAUAUACCUCCAUGGGAUUUGUGUAUGUGUUUUUAGUGUCUGUGUGAGUGUGUGCCUAGAGCACUGCACAGUAGGAAGCAAUAAAUAUUUUGCUUCCAACGGGACGGUAUUCUAAUAUUUGUAGCGUUGUUAUUGUUCAAACAAUGUUCGUCUUUCAUUAAACGACCGACAUGUGAGGGGUAUGAGGGGACCUUUUUCAGGAAUUAUAGUUAAGUAAACAGCUUUCCCAUUAAGACUGUGUGAACGAGAUUACCAACCGUGGAAAGGUUACUGUUACAGGGUUAAUUCAACCGGAACGUCGCAUGCGGUAUGUAUGUGCACGGUCUGAGCGUUCCUAGAUGGCACCAUGCCAAGCGAGACUCAGGCUGUUUGAACAAAGCUGACACUGUAUGUUCUCGUCGGUCCUGGAGCAAGCGUGCCAGAAUAGGCUUCUCAAAGCCAUUUCAUUCAAUAUGGAACACAAAACACCCCUGCUCUAGUCCAAACGGGUCUUGCUUCUCGCCCGACAUCGCAUCCUCUACAUUGUUUCAGCAGCAAAACCACCACAAAUACUUCCCGAAAUCACGUGUUUACAUCGUUGCAUCAAGUGUGACUCCGCAGCGAUCUAUCGCAUUGCUGCCCCUCUUCACUGCACAUGCAUCGUGUGUUUGUGUGUGGAGGGAUUUGCGACGCAAAAAUACGUCCUGCCGCAGUCAAAAUACGAUCCCACCGCACAUGCCAAAGUUGUUGAGAAGAAAGCUGAGAAGGAAAUGGCGAGAACAAGUGGCAAUUAUCAGCUAGGGGGAAACGGCUCCUGCGUUUAAUCGUAUUGUCGUGGGGAUGAUGAAAUUUCAGCCUCAGCUUGAGUCGGCACAAUGCUGACCAUGCCGUGGGUUAGAAAGGCUCACCUUGCCGCGUGUGAACUUGGUGGCUUCUUGCAUGGCUGAAUUGGGCGGACAUGACCGUGUACCGUUUGUUUCUGACGUCGAUCGCCGGCUAUCAGUUCCACCGGAGCCCGUAUUCGAAGGUCAAUCGAAUCUGGCACUUCUGGUGUCUGUUUUUGUUGUGAGUCUCUUCUUUUUGUACUCAUCUCAUUCUCCUUGCGGAAGAGAUAACCUGAAAACACGGGAAGUCAGGUCUGAAGCGUAAUUUCAAAGAUCUGGAUCACGAGCACGCCUGCUUUUGAGAAGUGAUUCCAAAGUACGCUGGUCAGGGUGAUCGGACCAUGACAGGUUGUAAACAGACAUAUGGCAUCAUUUCUGGAGCGGAAGAUCAUUUGAUCAUUUGAUGGAAAAGGAAGAAGUCAAGCAUGUUGCAGAGUCUCCUCUCGCUUUUAAUCAGUGAUCAACAAAAGUGAAGUCUCACAUUCACCUGCAGGUGUAAAUUGACAAGAAGACCAUUAAAGAUCAGAUAGACUUUAAGACCGGUCUUGCUAACUCCAAAGAAGCUAGAAUCGUGAGUAACCAUUCUGUUACGCACCACUUGCACUUGGAAGCUGAUAAGUGGACGAAGUGUACUCAAUUCUUCUUAUCUUAUCGGAAUGUCAACGUUCACUAGCCAGCGUAAUUGGUGUUGUUGUUUAUGGGGCGUUUCUUUUUAUAGUGGGGCUUGUCACUGUUACAUAACGGAUCGCCAAUCCCCUCGCAGGUACACUAUAUGUUGUUGUUGAUCUUGUUGGUGGUAGCGGAUAAAAGAUAAUGCCCAGUUUAAUAUAGUAACAGCACAUGAGUAACCUUCCUAAUCAACAAGGUGUGCAACAGGCAGAAGUGACUAUUUAUCAGCCUUUCUUUCUUUGAGAAAUGUCGCAGUUGCCUCUCUCUCUCUCUUUUACUCUCUAUCCGAUCGUACCCCAAAAUAAACAGCAUUGCCGAAAAUCGAAUCGUUAACCUUGGGGUGGAUAUAAUUGAAUACCAAAUGCGUCCCGGUCCACCUUGCGCCCCACCAGGUACAGGUGGACUCAACGUUAAACGAUCGUUCGAAAGUAUUCAAUUAAAAGGGUGAAAACAUUGAGUAUUCGUACACUUUCCCUCCGCUUUCCACACGUUCUUGUUCUUAGGGUUUUUAAAAUGCAACGAAAGUGUUCGCAAUCCGAAACGAUCGGUCCACCCAGGUUUCCUUGACCUAUAUCUUGUGGUCAACACAUUCCGGCUGGUCGCUGUCGAUGAGGAUGUCCUUCCUUCUCUUCUGGCGAGUUGUCUUUUGGGUACGAUCGAAUUACAAUCAAUUGAGAGAAUCGUUCAUUGAAACAUAUCCCAAAGGUUAGGCUAUUUUUAGCUGUUUAGAUUCUGGGCGAGUGUUUUUUUAUUUAACACACGGAAGAUCACACGAUCUUGGCUAUCUUUGGCGGCUUGACUAGGUGUGCAACACGCUUUUGCAGCUUUGUACGGAGGUGAAGCACUUCUAGACUAGCUGUCUUCACUGACGGGCUACUUCAUCGCGGCAACUUCUGAUGCCAACAGCGGACUUAGCGCGUUGUUGCAUCUAUUCCCCCCACGGCGAGGGUCAAAACCGUGCAAUCGAAUCGGGGCGGGGCGUGACGAAGCUCCUCGAUUCCUAAUCGGAUGAUAUAAUUAUCGGUUCGCUGUUUGUUUACUAGAACCGCUCUUAGUGCGCAGUGGAACAACAACACACAUUGUUAAGCGCCAGGCGUCAUCACGUCACCCUGCGACUGACCGGCCGGCCGUCGUGCCUUCUGCACUGGGCCUGUACCGUUGAGCCGAUGGGGGGUAAGUGUCUACGUAGUGUGCUUGGCUUUUAUUUUUCACCCCAUUCCUUCCGUUGUUUAUCGCCACCCUCCAUAGUCUGUUUGUGUGUGUGUGUGAGUUGAAGUGAAAUGAAGUGUAGCGAAUGCGUCUCCACGCUGUUGUUUACGUCCAGCCGUGAUCGUGCCGGCCAACAAACGCUCUCGCCAGCGUGUGGGGGCACGGCACUUAUUAGCAAGCUUAGCAGCAACAGCGAGAGGUUUUAGCAUAUGGGCACGAUCCGUAUUUCAGGUUGCCGUUGUUGCUGGACAGGAAACGAAACAACACCCCUCGAUGGGGGUCAAUACAGACAAACAGCCGAGAGGAGCGCGAGGCACAUGAAGUUGGGAAGCUAUUUUGGUCCCGGGGCGACGUAUUAAGACGUUGCUAGAAUGAAUAUUGAAAGCCAAAGAUUAGAGACCAGCUGGGUGGAUUACCACAGGGAAGAAGGAAGUGCUCGCUGACUGCAAACACUCGGCGUGAAGUGCGAAGCUAAUGAGUCAUUUCUGAGUGUCAUUUCGUGCUUGAAUCGUAGAAGCAGGCAAGAUUCAAUGCGUAUAUUCUCCCUUUCUCGAUAUUUGUAAUCGCAUGGUCAUUUCAUUACAUUCGAAAUGCAUUGUUUGUUUAUUGAAGAAGGCAGAGCAGAAGUACGGGACACACAUGACGACACGUGAGGGUAUAAUACUGUAUGGUGGCGAUUGGGAAAAACAACGCUCUUGUCAUCCGAUCGCAGCGGAUCGUUUGCCUCGUUGGAGCAAGUGUUCUUGGUGCUGGAGAGUUGGGGAUCGCUUGGGCCAGUUGGUGGUCAGGCCGGUCAAGCCGGGCCCAUGGGUGACGAUCAUAUUUCACUGUCACUUGCGUGGUGCUACUCGACUGUGAAGGGAGUGGAGACAAUCACUGAUAAUGGCACUGUUGACUUAUGGCUUUGGAGUGUUUGUAAUUAGAACAAGUACAAUUAGAACGUUUGGGAGAGAAGGGAUCAGUUUUUACAUUGUAAAAAUAAACUCUUCCCCUACAGAACAUUGUACACAAUGUAUUACAUAUGUUCAGGAACGAGAAAAAGCGUCAUCGAAAGGAAAAGUAAUCCUCCCUUCUAGAAGUUUAGGGUGCGACAGUUUGCGACAAUCUAUGCACGGACACUGCACACAGUUAACGGUGGCUGAUGCCGCGGCUGAUCGUGCACUAUACAAACCCCCACCAGGGGUGCCAAUAAAGCGCCGAUGUUAACAAUUUAUCGUCUUGCUGCCGGUCGCGCUGGCGCAUGUUCAAACAAGCCGUCUAGACACCCGCCGCCCGAAACCGGUCCAGUGUCGAAGUGGACAAGCGGCCGAUGAUCAAGGUCCUUUCCGCCUUCCGAACUAAGCCAGAUAUGUUGCUCGAGCAACACUAACGGUAUCCUGAGUGUUUUGUUAGCUUCUAGCGGAGCGACAGGAGAAGGAGAAGUAGGAGGAAAACGGAAUUAAUUUCCAUUUGAAUUGUCCUAUUUCACAAUAAAGCUGGAUUUUGCAUAUGUUUUGUGGAUGUUCUAAGCUUUGUGGUGUGUAAAAAAUAUGUUAUUCGUGUAUGGAUUGGAAUGUUGACCAAUCCGCACAUAGUUAUUAGUUAAUAAUUGAAAUGUAAUAUAAAAAAGAUAAUGAGCCUAUUGUGUACCAUGUUUAAGAUGUAAAUCAAAUGAAAAGAACAAUAUCAGCAAUAUCACAACUCGCGCUGUUUUUCCUUUUCAGCUAUAGACGGCGUUGGCAAAGAUUUCAUAAGUCACAUAUAGAUGGCGCAAGUAUCGCGGGCGUCCCAGCUACCCCUGAUUGUAUGCAAUUUGCAAUACAGCAAUUUGUACCCAACAUACUGUUUUUCUCAUACAGAUAUUAAGCUGUUAACGAGGCCAGUAAGCUAGAACUAAUGAUAUUUUUCGUCAUUACGAUGAACUUCGUUUUUGCCAUAGAAUGCAUUACCAGAAACCUUAACCUUAAUUAGGGAAGAAUUAAUUCACAAAUUACGCAAUAGCAAAUUACAGACUUGUCUCUUAUCAAUCAUUUAUUCUUCAGCACAUCACACCCACUUGGCUUUCCCCAACCUGUGUCGAUCACUAGUAGAAAUCGUACGCCGCCAACGGUAGCUCUGGAUGCAUCUGUUGCAUGGCGGACGCUUGAAACGAUGUGCCACCGUGGAUGGGCGCCAGGGACGAUCCUUUCACGUAAUUGCUCCCAAACCGGUAAUUAUCACCGGCAGCAUAGGAAUAGUGGGCCUCCUGGUUGUUUUGCCCGCCUCCUAGUGAUGAGUUCAUGUAGCUGCAACUGCUCGUACUGUACGACUGCUCUGGGUAGGUCGCGUUCGUAUGGCCACCGGGUGAUGUGGUGAGGUCCGAAGAGUGAUAACCAUAAUUGACGGUAGCCUCGUUUGUUAUUAGAUGGUCGUAAUUUGCCUGUUUGCUGGGUGGCCCCACCGAGGGGAUGUUGUUGUUGUUAUUGACGAUACUGCUGCUAUUAUUGUUGAUACUGUUGCUAAAGUAGGUCCCACCGGUGGAUGUCCCUCGGUAGGAGGUGUAGGACGAUUUUUUGUAUUGAUUUUGAUCACAAUCGUACUGUCGCGAUCGUGACACACUUAGGGAGGUGUCCGCGAGUGUAGCCUUCCCGGUAGGGGUAGAGCCAACCUCUUUCUUGAUGUAUCUUAGGACAUCCUUGGAGGAGCUGUCUUCAUGCGGAAGAUUACUAUAACCCGAAUCGUUUGCAAAGUAUUUCCCGAGGUGAUGAUCGGAAGCAACCGGUGCGCUACAGCUUUCGUUUGUGGACGAUAGCUCCACUACCAAGGUCGAGCAGAGUGGUCGGAGUCGUCGUAGUAAGUUGAUUCACCAGACCCGAUGCACUUCCAUUGCUGUGGUGUUGAUGCUGCUGUUGCUGUUGACGUAGGGGCUGAUCUAGUUGAAAGAUUUCCUCCGGAUGGAAGCACUCGUUCAUUAAGCUGGAUGCGCAGGAUCCAUUUGCAGGGCCACUGGCGGUUUCGUAACCGGAGGACGGUGUGAAGGACUCAACGGUCGAUUCGUACGAUUGCCAAGUUGUGCUGGAGUGGAGAUGAUUCUGGAGGGGCGUAUGAUGCGUAUUAGACGGAUCGAAGAAUGCACCGGUUCCGGCGAUUCCUUCGGAGGAUCUUGUGAGAGAAGAAGCCGACGAGUUGAUUCCAAGCUUGGUCCUACAAACGCACGGUGUACGCGUGCACGUUGAGCACUUGGAAGAGUCUUCUGAAAACAUGAUAGAUGAAGUGAUUACACAUUGUUUUCUACAUCAUACAAAACGAGCUAAUUCACUUACCAUAACUUGGAUCAGGAAUCAAUGGAGGUGGCUGAAGUAUUUCCGAUCCCGUAGUGCCACCAUUCACCUUACUCGAAGCUUUCAGCGACAUAAGCUGCAAUGAUCCAACAUACACCACGUAAUUAGAAUUUCUGAAGUACCCAUGCGUGUCUCUAUUUACCUUAUUCCCCAGUGCCGCAUCUCGAAGCAACAGCACGGACAACUUCUUACUCUUGGCCGCCGCACCCUUCGUGCCGUUGCCCGUCGCUCCAAUCAUCUUUCUCGUUUCACCGGACGUCUUCGAUUCCGGCUUCGGAUGGUCAUGGUUCCCUUUCGCCUGAAAGAAGAUGGCUUUCUCCGUGUGACGCCAGUAGUGCGUGACGGGAUAGCCACAGUGUCCACGGCACGGCAGCACCUCCAACCGACCCACCUUGCAGUGCCGAUUGGGACAGGCCCGUCCCUGUUGCUUCCGGCGUGCCUUAUCACAGAUGGCGGGACGCAGAUUGAUUUGGCCCCCGUUCGGUAGCUUACAGCGCGCGGUGCAGAUGAGCACACCGAGACAGCUUUUCUUCAGGAUGCUUACGUUGUGGUUGUUCGUAUUGCGCAUCGCCCAGCCCGAGAUGUGCUUGCGGGCGUGAUCGUCCGUCGGGUGGUACACGUGCCGCACGUGGCCGUCGGCCCAUUCGUUGAACUUCUCGUACGUCAGCUCCUGGAUGAACGGGAUGUGCGCAUCAUUGAUGUCCCAUUCGCCGGCCAUUUUGUACUGAAACCCACGAACAAUAAUUAGUUUAUGGAGUUUACGCGAGUGUCUGGCAGCCGUUUCCCACGAUACCCAAAGCUGUGCAGAAUCCACCAACUGCCAUCGCUGAUUAAGUGUCAAAUGAUUGAUGAACAAUCAGCGGCGACGGCUAUGAUAUCCUGAGGAACACUUUUCAACUGCCAGCGACGGUCGGACAGCGAAUGGACAGCUUGCUUUGCUGUGAACCGUGUAAACCGUUUUCCCACCAAUCAACUUUAAACUUGCCGAUAUCGAUCAAAGCCGAUUGAUCGGCGGGCGUACUUUCACCCUCCUUCUCGCUGGCAGAGGUUGGAAUGUUGUGUGAUUUACGAUGCAAUCUCAACUGCCUCAGCUAUGCGCUAUCGUAAUGACCAUCGUCACAUAAACAGUACGCAUUCGGUCAGUCCGUCAGUUCCAGUCUAAUGGUUUCCCUUCUUGGCGGUGACUGGGCGAGGUAAUCGACGAGGGAUUGAUGAUGGCGAACAGAUCGAUAGAACCUACCACACUACAUUGCUUUGGAGGCUGUUCUUUG